rnacentral:rRNA from 1 species
UGGGGAAUAUUGCACAAUGGGUGAAAACCUGAUCCAGCCAUGCCGCGUGCAGGAAGACGGCCCUAUGGGUUGUAAACUGCUUUUGUAUGGGAGCAAUAAGCUCUACGCGUAGAGUGAUGAGAGUACCAUACGAAUAAGCGUCGGCUAACUCCGUGCCAGCAGCCGCGGUAAUACGUAGGGAGCGAGCGUUGUCCGGAAUUACUGGGUGUAAAGGGUGAGUAGGCGGCAUAGUAAGUCAUAUGUGAAAGCCCGCAGCUUAACUGCGGAGUUGCAUAAGAAAUUAUUGAGCUAGAGUGCAGGAGAGGCAAGCGGAAUUCCUAGUGUAGCGGUGAAAUGCGUAGAUAUUAGGAGGAACACCAGUGGCGAAGGCGGCCUGCUGGGCUUUUACUGACGCUGAGGCUCGAAAGUGUGGGUAGCAAACA